AGAGUUUGAUCCUGGCUCAGGAUGAACGCUGGCUGUGCGCCUAAUACAUGCAUGUUGAACGAAGCUAAAAGUGCUUGCACUUUAAGACUUAGUAGCGAAUGGGUGAGUAACACGUACUUAACCUACCCCCAAGUUUGGGAUAACGUUUGGAAACGAACGCUAAUACCGAAUACGUAUUUUUAUCGCAUGAUAGAAAUAUAAAAGGAGCUUCGGCUUCGCUAGGGGAUGGGAGUGCGCUACAUUAGUUAGUUGGUAGGGUAAUGGCCUACCAAGACUAUGAUGUAUAGCGGGGCCGAGAGGCUGAUCCGCCACACUGGGACUGAGAUACGGCCCAGACUCCUACGGGAGGCAGCAGUAGGGAAUUUUCCACAAUGAACGAAAGUUUGAUGGAGCGACACAGCGUGCAGGAUGAAGGUCUUCGGAUCGUAAACUGCUGUUAUAAGGGAAGAAAAACUUUAGUAGGUAAUGACUAGAACUUGACGGUACCUUAUCAGAAAGCGACGGCUAACUAUGUGCCAGCAGCCGCGGUAAU
rnacentral:rRNA from 1 species